GGGUGACACCUCAAAUUCACUCUGCAAGUGCAUACUCAGCCUGAGGAUUAUGUGGAGGAGACUGGUCCCAUCCGGCUUCAAUCACCUGGAGCAAAAUUGUAUCCCAGUCUCCACAAGCAAUCAGAAUUCUCCUUUUCCUGAAUUACUCAAAUAAUCAAAACGUGAGUGAGAGGAAGAGUCCGAAUUUUCCGACGAUUUCGCUGUGAUGUUUGUUAGAACGUUGGAAUAUUGCGCCCCGACUCCCGCGGAGAACCUCGCGCUGUGACCCGCCCCACAUAGCGGACCUGGAGAAUGAAGUCCCCGCUAUUCGAGCAGGGAGCAUACCUGUAAUAACUUCAAAAUCUGCCUUGGUUACAAACACCCGGGACAGUGAAGAAACGCCCCGGGCACUGCCAUUUCGUCCACCUUUAUUUGGCAGCUUCAGUUGGCCGUCCAGAGAGCUCGGGAGUAUUGCCUUCCUAUCUAAUUACGCAGCAGCUUCGGAUUCUGCCCUCGAAAACUGAUGACCUCCUCCGGCCGAAAUUAGGCGGAGGGCGUGGAGCAGCUGAGCGGCAGCUCCUUGUCGCCUGGCGGCCGCGUGCUUUCGAUCCGCACUUUCGGGCGGCGGGGCCGCGACUUCGAGAGGCGCGGACUGCGGCCUCAGUGCUUUUUUUCUGUCCCGCCCCACUGUGAUCUGGGAUACAGCGGGCCAGACACGGCCUCCACGGAACCUUCUGAGGCUUCGGGCAGCUGGGAGAGCGCGCCCAUCCCCUAGGCAACCAGACGGUGUGCACGGUUUGAGGACAGAGGGUCCCAGCUCCCAGCCGGGGACCCAGCGACUCUUAUUUUCUCUACCUGAACCGAACGAAAUUGCACCAGUCAGAACCUCAGUUCCCUGAC
rnacentral:lncRNA from 1 species